UGGGGAAUCUUGGACAAUGGGGGCGACCCUGAUCCAGCGACGCCGCGUGGGUGGUAAGGCCUUCGGGUUGUAAAGCCCUUUCGCCAGGGAAGAUAAUGACGGUACCUGGUAAAGAAACCCCGGCUAACUCCGUGCCAGCAGCCGCGGUAAUACGGAGGGGGUUAGCGUUGUUCGGAAUUACUGGGCGUAAAGCGCACGUAGGCGGACCAGUCAGUCAGAGGUGAAAUCCCGGGGCUCAACCUCGGAACUGCCUUUGAUACUGCUGGUCUUGAGUUCGAGAGAGGUGAGUGGAAUUCCGAGUGUAGAGGUGAAAUUCGUAGAUAUUCGGAGGAACACCAGUGGCGAAGGCGGCUCACUGGCUCGAUACUGACGCUGAGGUGCGAAAGCGUGGGGAGCAAACAGGAUUAGAUACCCCCGUAGUCC
rnacentral:rRNA from 1 species